AAUAAGCGGAGGAAAAGAAACCAACAGGGAUUGCCCUAGUAACGGCGAGUGAAGCGGCAACAGCUCAAAUUUGAAAUCUGGCCUUCGGGUCCGAGUUGUAAUUUGUAGAGGAUGCUUUUGGCGCGGUGCCUUCCGAGUUCCCUGGAACGGGACGCCUUAGAGGGUGAGAGCCCCGUACGGUUGGACACUAAGCCUCUGUAAAGCUCCUUCGACGAGUCGAGUAGUUUGGGAAUGCUGCUCUAAAUGGGAGGUAAAUUUCUUCUAAAGCUAAAUAUUGGCCAGAGACCGAUAGCGCACAAGUAGAGUGAUCGAAAGAUGAAAAGCACUUUGAAAAGAGGGUUAAAUAGCACGUGAAAUUGUUGAAAGGGAAGCGUUUGCGACCAGACCUUUUCCUAGCGGAUCAUCCGGUGUUCUUCACCGGUGCACUUCGCUAGGUCGAGGCCAGCAUCGGUUUCUAUAGGGGGACAAAAGCUUAGGGAACGUAGCUCCUUCGGGAGUGUUAUAGCCCUCUGCAUAAUACCCUUACGGGGACCGAGGACCGCGCUUUUUGCAAGGAUGCUGGCGUAAUGGUUGUCAACGACCCGUCUUGAAACACGGACCAAGGAGUCGAACAUUUGUGCGAGUGUUUGGGGUGUUAAACCCUCACGCGUAAUGAAAGUGAACGGAGGUGAGAGCCCUUACGGGUGCAUCAUCGACCGAUCCUGAUGUCUUCGGAUGGAUUUGAGUAAGAGCAUAACUGUUCGGACCCGAAAGAUGGUGAACUAUGCGUGGAUAGGGUGAAGCCAGAGGAAACUCUGGUGGAGGCUCGCAGCGGUUCUGACGUGCAAAUCGAUCGUCAAAUCUGCGCAUGGGGGCGAAAGACUUAUCGAACCAUCUAGUAGCUGGU
rnacentral:rRNA from 1 species